UACGCUGCCGGCACGCCUAACACAUGCAAGUAGAACGCAGUAGCAAUACUGAGUGGCAAACGGGUGAGUAUAAUGUGGGAAUCUGCCUUUUGGUUUGGAAUAACACGGGGAAACUUGUGCUAAUACCGAAUAAGCCUUUACGGGGAAAGUUUUAACGCCGAAAGAUGAGCCUGCACUUGAUUAGCUAGUUGGUAAGGUAAAAGCUUAUCAAGGCAACGAUCAAUAGCUGUUCUUAGAGGAAGACCAGCCACAUUGGGACUGAGACACGGCCCAGACUCCUACGGGAGGCAGCAGUGGGGAAUCUUGCACAAUGGGGGAAACCCUGAUGCAGCGAUGCCGCGUGAGUGAAGAAGGCCUUUGGGUUGUAAAACUGUUUCGUCGGGGAAGAAAAUGACUGUACCCGAAUAAGAAGGUCCGGC
rnacentral:rRNA from 1 species